rnacentral:rRNA from 1 species
AGUGAACGCUGGCGGUAGGCCUAACACAUGCAAGUCGAACGGCAGCACAGUAAGGGCUUGCUCUUACGGGUGGCGAGUGGCGGACGGGUGAGGAAUACAUCGGAAUCUACUUUUUCGUGGGGGAUAACGUAGGGAAACUUACGCUAAUACCGCAUACGACCUACGGGUGAAAGCAGGGGAUCUUCGGACCUUGCGCGAUUGAAUGAGCCGAUGUCGGAUUAGCUAGUUGGCGGGGUAAAGGCCCACCAAGGCGACGAUCCGUAGCUGGUCUGAGAGGAUGAUCAGCCACACUGGAACUGAGACACGGUCCAGACGCCUACGGGAGGCAGCAGUGGGGAAUAUUGGACAAUGGGCGCAAGCCUGAUCCAGCCAUACCGCGUGGGUGAAGAAGGCCUUCGGGUUGUAAAGCCCUUUUGUUGGGAAAGAAAAGCAGCAGGUUAAUACCCCGCUGUUCUGACGGUAACCAAAGAAUAAGCACCGGCUAACUUCGUG